rnacentral:misc_RNA from 1 species
GCUGGUGCACCGAACUGCUCCCCUCACUUUCGAUCAAUCGUUGCUCCACGUGCUAAUGUUGGAUGCAAAAGAUGGGGUUCCUGUGCUGUGUACCUAUCGCGAUGGAAAUCGGUUCCUCUUGUUGUCCCUUUCAUCCUUGAAUCCUUUCGGAUUCUCGGUUGGACUAGAUAGAAGGGCUCGUGCUCCACUGACAUCUAACGUGAUCGUUCAGAUGGUGCUCGAGUGCCUUCUUGUCCCUUUGGAUGCGGAACUUGCCUCAUGGGCGUGGGGUCAUCGGCCCUUGUUCCCGAAAGUUGAUGCGAUUUGUCGCUUCACACCGGAAUGACGCUCUCGUCUUGUCCUUGAUCACGUGGAGCUCUCGGGCUACCGCGCUGGAUCAUGCUCGGCGGACGUCGUGAAGGAAUGC